UCAUUUAGAGAAAAUGAUUUUAUUGAAGACUGAGAGGAGAUCUCAUCAGUGUAUGGAAAUAUCUGAGGAGUGGCUGUAAAGUGGAUGUGGCAAAUCUCUUCUUACUGGUCAGCAGCAAUAAGCCAAGGAGCAAUGGAUACAAACUGGAACAGAGAAGGUUUCACCUCAACACAAGGAGAAACUUAUUUAUGAUGUGCCCUUUCUAAUAUGCAUAAUACUCAUGGUUCUCAAGUGUGAAAUCCUCCUCACUCAGAAGAAUUGGAGAAGACAUAAACUUGGAAAAAACAAAAGAGGUAUAAGAAGAUGAAAAUGAGGAAUGGCAGGAAGAUAAUGAAAGGUCAAUAAUGAGUGAUUCAGAUAUUGGAUCACUUGCAAAGCUCAUGGAAGAACAGGCAGAAGUUUGUCAAAGGCAUGGAAAUCCAACAAGUGAGACAGCUUUUGAAGGAGCUACAAAGGAGUCUAUGCGAGUCACAGAACAUUAGAGGCUGGAAGGGACCUCCAGAGAUCAUCCAGUACAACUUCCCUGCAAAGUGUAAACAGGUGAAGUACAAGUCAAAACCAGGCCAGAACAACCAUCACUACUAAUACAGACUGCAGGAUGAGGUUAGAGAAAGCAGCCCUGUGGAAAAGAACUUGGAGUGCUGAUGGAUGAGAAACUGGACAU